rnacentral:rRNA from 1 species
GUCUACGGCCAUGCUACCCUGAACAAGCCUGAUCCUGUCAGAUCUUGGAAGCAAAGCAGGGUCGGGCCUGUCUGAUCUUGGAAGCUAAGCAGGGUUGGGCCUGGUUAGUACUUGGAUGGGAGACCACCUAGGAAGACCAGGUGCUAUAAGCG